UACGUAGGGUGCAAGCGUUAAUCGGAAUUACUGGGCGUAAAGCGUGCGCAGGCGGCUUUGCAAGACAGAUAUGAAAUCCCCGGGCUCAACCUGGGAACUGCAUUUGUGACUGCAAGGCUGGAGUACGGCAGAGGGGGAUGGAAUUCCGCGUGUAGCAGUGAAAUGCGUAGAUAUGCGGAGGAACACCGAUGGCGAAGGCAGCCCCCUGGGUCGACACUGACGCUCAGGCACGAAAGCGUGGGGAGCAAACAGG
rnacentral:rRNA from 1 species